GGGGGUGUAGAUCAAUGGUAGAGCACUUGUCUAGCAUAUGUGAGGCUCUGGGUUCAAGUCCCAGCACUGCAA
rnacentral:tRNA from 1 species